CUGCCUUUGCUAAUACAAAUCUCCCUUCAACACACCCAAUUCGUCUCUGCCUUGCUCUCAACUUUUUCGUCUUUCUACUAUGAAAUAAUGAAUUCUCUAGAAAGAGCAUGCCAUUUGGCUAAAUGAGCUUUUGAUGAAGCAAUUGUGGAGUUGGAUAUGUUGAGUGAGGAUUCGUAUAAAGACAACACCCUGAUUAUACAGCUUUUGAGAGAGAAUCUCACACUUUGGACCUCCGAUUUGCCUGAAGAUGGAGGGGACGAGGACAACAUUAAAGCUGAAGAACCAAAAGCAGCAGAGCCAGAGCAUUGAUGAGGUACCCAAGAGCAAUAAAAUGCAAGAAUAUGCAAAAGUCCACUUUUUCCUGCAAUGGAAUUCUUUGCCAAGUCUAUUUUUGGAGGCCAUUUAUAGAUAGAAUAUGAUGAGAAUUUUGUCGAUCUUCCUAUUUUUUGUUCCUAAUCUGUUUUUCUAUGUUGAACAUUUGCUACCAAUUCUAUUGCUUCAUGUUCUCCUGUAGAAUUCUUAUCACCAUUCACCAAUACAUGGAGUAUUUCCAAUUCUGCUCUUGUAUUUCUCUCUCUCUCUUUUUUUCUUUGGGUCAUGCAACUGGCUCUUGGUUGAAUGUUCUUUUUUCCUCUUCUCUAUCUUGUCACACACUUUAUAGCACUUCUUAGGAUUUUGGUUUAUAGCACAAUAAAUGAACGUCGAAUUUACCAACUUUUACACAAAUUUUCAUGCGAUCAAUGAGAUCGGU